ACCUACGGGGGGCAGCAGUGAGGAAUAUUGGUCAAUGGGCGGUAGCCUGAACCAGCCAAGUAGCGUGAAGGAUGAAGGUUCUAUGGAUUGUAAACUUCUUUUGUAAAGGAAUAAAGUGAGGCACGUGUGGCUUUUUGUGUGUACUUGAUGAAUAAGGAUCGGCUAACUCCGUGCCAGCAGCCGCGGUAAUACGGAGGAUCCGAGCGUUAUCCGGAUUUAUUGGGUUUAAAGGGAGCGUAGGUGGGUUGUUAAGUCAGUGGUAAAAGUUUGCGGCUCAACCGAAAAAUUCCAAUGUAUACGGGCGU
rnacentral:rRNA from 1 species